UACGUAGGGGGCGAGCGUUGUCCGGAAUUAUUGGGCGUAAAGCGCGUGUAGGCGGCCCGGUAAGUCCGCUGUGAAAGUCCAGGGGCUCAACCCCUGGAAUGCCGGUGGAUACUGCCGGGCUCGAGUCCGGAAGAGGCGAGUGGAAUUCCUGGUGUAGCGGUGAAAUGCGCAGAGUAUCAAGGAGGAACACCGGUGGCGAAGGCGGGUCUCUGGGCCGAUACUGACGCUGAGGAGCGAAAGCAUGGGUAGCGAACAGGA
rnacentral:rRNA from 1 species